GAUUAAGAGGCAACUCUUUGACUGGAGAACUGUCCCCUGAUGUGUCAAUUAACUAGUCUGUGGUACUUGAAGUCAUCUAGUUAAUGUACAGGGAAGACAUUGCUAGCCAGAGCAAUUGCAAGCAAGAGAGAUGCUAACUUUCUAAAGGUUGUAUCAAGCGCCAUUAUUGAUAAGUUCAUUGGUGAAAGUGCAAGAUUGAUAAGGGAAAUGUUUGGUUAUGCUUGUGAUCACCAGCCCUGUAUCAUUUUUAUGGACGAGAUUGAUGCUAUUGGUAGACGGCAUUUUAGCAAAUGGACCAGUGCGGAUUGUGAAAUCCAGCGAAUACUCAUGGAGUUGCCUAACCAGUUAGAUGGAUUUGAUCAACUUGGGAAGGUACUUGAGUCCUUAUUGAUCUUGUUCGUUAUUCACAUUAAAUGGAUGCAAAGUUAUUUAUCUGGUCAAUCCUUCAACUUUGGUUAUCUGUGGAUGUAUUUGCUAAGAUUGUAUAGCUAUGUUUGUUUUUGCAUUACAUUAUCUAUCAAUCCUUCAACUUUGCAAGCAAGAACCAUGCCUUAAUCUUAUCACAUGUCACUUGUCUCUUGUUUUCAGAAGAUCUUAACAGCUUUCAUGAGGUGACAACUAUCACAAGGUACUAUCUGAACAUCUUCUAUUUUAUUAAAUUUGGGUCAUUUUGUGGAUGAAAGAAAUGUGAUGCCAGAAGAUAUGGUCGUUUCCAUUGCAGACCAUGAAUCACAUGUUUAUUGUCAAUACUGAUUUUGGUUUUAGAAUGUUAUGGUGCACUGUGAAGUCCUUAAUUGACCCAAUACAACUGCCAAGAUUAAUGUCGGUAUAUCUUUUUGGGUUCUAAUUUUAGCCAUAUGAAUUUGCUUUUCACCUUGGCACUUUCGUAUAAAAACACAAGUACAUGGAAAUAAUUGCAGGCUUGAUAUUAGCUUUUAAUUUUUGGUUGCUGAUGAGUUUGUUGUUUGUGUAGUUUGCAAGUACUGAAUAAUUGAUAUUUUUUUGCUUUGCAUUUCAGGGGUCUUUACUGAUGGAGCUUAUUCAGCAGAUGCAAGUACAAGGUGUGCCAGUAUGGUUUCUUUGAUGCCUCUCUUGUUGGUCCUUUUCUUGCUACUGUUUGAGAAUCAUUAAAGAGAGGCAUCAAUGGCAUCUAGGAAGUGAUUGAAAGAAGAAAGGGGAAAUUGUCAAUAUUAGUUCUGAUGCAGCUCACCUUCCUUCUUUGCCUCUAUACACACUUUAUUCUACAAUCAAAGCGCUGGAACUGGGGUUGAUGGAAAAGCUGGAACAAGACUUUAUUGGCUUUUUUGGUUAGGUUCUUAUUUUGGCAAGGACAAAUCAUUGGAGUUCAUGCAACUCUGGAUAUGUUCAAGGUUGAUUGAACAUACCUAAUGAGAAAGUUACUAUUGUAGUAACGGCACUUUCUAAUUUCAUUGUGCAGUUGGUUCUCUUUAGAACGGAUCUUAGUCUGUAUACAUAUUGGAUUAGUGUAUUUUGGUGAAUAAUAUAUUCCUUUUAGCGC